AAACCAUGAUUUGGGCAUUUCCUUAAUAGCUCCUUGAACCUUUCCCAUGUCUCGUACAACGAUUCCCCGUCUUCUUGAGAGUAGGUGUUAAUCUCCGUCAUGAGUGU
rnacentral:snoRNA from 2 species